CUUGCAGAAAGAUUUUGACAAAUUAGAGGGGUGGGCAAUCACCAAAAAUAUAAAGUUUAACAAGAGCAAGUGCUGGACUGUGCACCUGGGACAGGGCAGCCCUGGCUGUAUGUACAGACUGGAGGAUGAAAGGCCAGAGGGCAGCCCUAUGGAAAGGACUCUGGGGAUUUUGAUUGACAGAGAGUUGAACAUGAGCCAGCAGUGUGCCCUGGCAGCCAAAAGGGCCAACCAUGCCCUGGGGAGCAUCAAGCAUGGCAUUGCUAGUUGGUAGAGGGCAGGGAUUGUCUUUCUCUGCCCUGCACUGGUAUGGCCUCACCUUGAGUACCUCACCUUGAGUACUGUGUGCAAGUUUGGGUGCCACAGUAUAAGAAAGACAUAAAACUAUUAGAGAGCAUCCAAAGGAGGGCUACAAAGAUGGUGAAGGGCCUAGACGGAAAGACGUAUGAGGACUGGCUGAGGUCCCUUGGUUUGUUCAGCCCAGAGCAGAGCAGGCUGAGGGGAGGCCUCAUGGCGGCCUGCAGCUCCCUCACGAGGGGAGCGGAGGGGCAGGCGCUGAGCUCUGCUCUCUGGGGACAGCGACAGGACCCGAGGGAACGGCAUGGAGCUGGGACAGGGGAGGGUCAGGCUGGGGGUUAGGGAAAGGUUCUUCACCCAGUGGGUGGCUGGGCACUGGAACAGGCUCCUCAGGGCAGAAGGAACAGCAUUGAGCCUUCCAGAGUUCACGAAGCAUUUGGACAACACUCUCAGACACAUGGUCUGAUUUUUGGGUGGUCCUGUGUGGAGCCAGGAGUUGGACUUAAUGAUCCUUGUGGCUCCCUUCCAACUCACAAUAUUCUGUGACUCUGUGAUUCUUUUUCUGUCCUGUCUACCUAAGCCAUGUUCCUGGAGCUGACAACAUGUAAGCUGCUGAGUCCUGAAGCCACCAGAACUCCACCAACAUGAACCACCGAAUCAGCCACAAGCUUUCAGCACAAAGAGGGAUCAGGAGACAAGUGGCCGCAUCUCUGCCUGUGAAGACAUCUAACAGUCUGCCUGUAGCUGUGGACGUCUCUGGUAGCCAGCUCUGGAAGGCAAACUGCUGCUGCCAAUGCCACCCGCCAGCCUCCCAGGCACAAAAAUCCAUCGUCAAUAUUGACCUUUGCAGUGGGGGACACUGUGCAUGCACAGUGUGACCCGGGGAGUAGAGAACAUGGUAAGGUCAGGAGAAGAUGUUAUGGUGGGAUUUCACAGCUUCUGAUUCCUUUCAUGCAUCCAACAUCCUCAGGAGAAGGCUGAAGCAGAUGAAAAUCCAAGUGAGCUUUGUGCAAAACAAACUGUCUACAAAUAAUUGAAAGUGGUUUGUAAUACAGUCUUUAAUUCCAAGUCUGUCAACUUGUUAGAAGAGUCAGGAUUUAAUUAUACUUGUGGCAAAACUUUCCCAGCAUUAUUGAGAUUACUGGGCAUGUGUUUAAAGCAGAAAUUCUGCAAACCACUAAUGUUAAUUUUUCUUUAUACAUCUUGGAAAAAUUGAACUUCUGUUUGAAACUCAUGGCAUUUUUUAAUCGUGCUAAAUGGAUGGCCAGCAAAUUGUAGGUCAGUCAAUGUUACAGUGAUUCCCAGUAAAAUAAUGGGAAAUGCUUUUUUUUUGUUUUGUCAGAUUAGUGUGUCAUAGGGAGAUUUCCAUACAGCGUUUAACCUCCUAUUGUGUGACAUUUUGAUUUAACAGUUAAUGCUAUCCAAUAUCAAUAUUGCAGGUACUAAGUGGAUUAAAAAGUAACUGAUAUGUUUUAUGGGUUAUUUCUGAAAGAGAAUGCUUAAUGGAAGAAGGUGUUUCUGAAACGAUCUGCAGUAAUGAGUUCCUGGCCCAGUGCUUUUUUUUUUUGCUUUUUUUUUUUCCUUUUUAAUAAAAUAGGAACUGGCUAAUAAAGCUUGCCA
rnacentral:lncRNA from 1 species